GGAGCGUUCUGUAAGCCUGCGAAGGUGUGCUGUGAGGCAUGCUGGAGGUAUCAGAAGUGCGAAUGCUGACAUAAGUAACGAUAAAGCGGGUGAAAAGCCCGCUCGCCGGAAGACCAAGGGUUCCUGUCCAACGUUAAUCGGGGCAGGGUGAGUCGACCCCUAAGGCGAGGCCGAAAGGCGUAGUCGAUGGGAAACAGGUUAAUAUUCCUGUACUUGGUGUUACUGCGAAGGGGGGACGGAGAAGGCUAUGUUGGCCGGGCGACGGUUGUCCCGGUUUAAGCGUGUAGGCUGGUUUUCCAGGCAAAUCCGGAAAAUCAAGGCUGAGGCGUGAUGACGAGGCACUACGGUGCUGAAGCAACAAAUGCCCUGCUUCCAGGAAAAGCCUCUAAGCAUCAGGUAACAUCAAAUCGUACCCCAAACCGACACAGGUGGUCAGGUAGAGAAUACCAAGGCGCUUGAGAGAACUCGGGUGAAGGAACUAGGCAAAAUGGUGCCGUAACUUCGGGAGAAGGCACGCUGAUAUGUAGGUGAAGUCCCUUGCGGAUGGAGCUGAAAUCA
rnacentral:rRNA from 1 species